rnacentral:rRNA from 1 species
AACGAACGCUGGCGGCGUGUUUAAGACAUGCAAGUCGCACGGGAUUGGUUGAGUAGCAAUACAAGAUCAGUCUAGUGGCGCACGGGUGAGUAACACGUGAAUUACAUGCCCUUCAGUGGGGAAUAGCCCAGGGAAACUUGGAUUAAUACCCCAUGGUAUCGCAAGAUUAAAGGUGGCCGCAAGGCUGUCGCUGAAGGAUUGGUUCGCGCCCUAUCAGCUUGUUGGUGAGGUAACGGCUCACCAAGGCUACGACGGGUACCUGGUCUGUGAGGACGAUCAGGCACACUGGAACUGAGACACGGUCCAGACACCUACGGGUGGCAGCAGUCGAGAAUCAUUCACAAUGGGGGAAACCCUGAUGGUGCAACGCCGCGUGGAGGAUGACGGUCUUCGGAUUGUAAACUCCUGUCAUCUGGGAGUAAGCCUUGUUCGUUAAUAGCGUGCAAGGUUGAUAGUACCAGAAGAGGAAGGGACGGCUAACUUCGUGCCAGCAGCCGCGGUAAUACGAAGGUCCCAAGCGUUGUUCGGAAUCACUGGGCGUAAAGCGAGCGUAGGCGGCAUGGUAAGUCAGAUGUGAAAGCCCGGGGCUCAACCUCGGAACUGCAUCCGAUACUGCCAAGCUAGAGUAGUGGAGGGGUGUAUGGAAUUCACGGUGUAGCAGUGAAAUGCGUAGAUAUCGAGAGGAACACUCGUGGCGAAGGCGAGCUACUGGACAUUUACUGACGCUGAGGCACGAAGGCCAGGGUAGCGAAAGGGAUUAGAUACCCCUGUAGUCCUGGCAGUAAACGGUGCGCGUUUGGGGUGGGAGGAUUCGACCCCUUCCGUGCCGGAGCUAACGCGUUAAGCGCGCCGCCUGGGAAGUACGGCCGCAAGGCUAAAACUCAAAGAAAUUGACGGGGACCCGCACAAGCGGUGGAGUAUGUGGCUUAAGUCGAUGCAACGCGAAGAACCUUACCAGGGCUUGACAUGCAUCUCUAAGCGCGUGAAAGCGCGUGACCCUUCGGGGAAUUUGCACAGGUGCUGCAUGGCCGUCGUCAGCUCGUGUCGUGAGAUGUUUGGUUAAGUCCAGCAACGAGCGCAACCCCUGUGAAUAGUUGCCAGCGCGUAAUGGCGGGGGCUCUAUUCAGACUGCCCAGAUCAACUGGGAGGAAGGUGGGGACGACGUCAGGUCAGUAUGGCCCUUACGCCUAGGGCUGCACACGUACUACAAUGCCCAGCACAAUGAGAACCAAUACCGCGAGGUGGAGGAAAUCUGUAAAACUGGGCCCAGUUCGGAUUGGAGGCUGCAACUCGCCUCCAUGAAGUUGGAAUCGCUAGUAAUGCCGUAUCAGCUACGACGGCGUGAAUACGUUCCCGGGUCUUGUACACACCGCCCGUCACAUCAUGGAAGCCGGUCGCACCCGAAGUAUAUGCGCUAACUUUAUUGAAGCAGUAUCCUAAGGUGAGGCUGGUAACUGGGAUG